rnacentral:rRNA from 1 species
UUUUUGGGCUUGGUAAUUGGAAUGAGGGAGAGUUAAACGGACCAUCGAGUAUCCAUUGGAGGGCAAGUCUGGUGCCAGCAGCUGCGGUAAUACCAGCUCCAAUAGCGUAUAUUAAAGUUGUUGCAGUUAAAAAGCUCGUAGUUGGACUUGUGUGCGCUGUCCGCGGGUGGCCUGCGCCCAAAAGGGCGUUUCGGUUCGGCCCCGGUGGCGCCUUGAAAUCUGCAGCUGGGGGGACGUUGGCCUUAACUGGUCGGCGACCGCACGCCGGUUGCUCGGUUACUGUGAGAAAAUUAGAGUGUUCAAGGCAGGCAUUGGGUGCAAUUGAAUACAUUAGCAUGGAAUAAUAAAAUAUGGCUCCUGCCGUAUUUUGUUGGUUUUGACUGGUGGGAGUAAUGAUUGAUAGGGACGGUUUGGGGUGCUAGUAUUGAGCGGCCAGAGGUGAAAUUCAUGGAUUCGCUCAAGACUAACUUAUGCGAAAGCAUUCACCAAGGACGUCCUCUUUAAUCAAGAACGAAAGUUGGGGGAUCGAAGACGAUCAGAUACCGUCGUAGUCUCAACCAUAAACUAUGUCGACUUGGGAUCGGCGGUAGUUUUUUCAUUAAGACACUGUCGGGACCACGGGAGAAAUCAAAGUGUCUGGACUCUGGGGGAAGUAUGGUCGCAAGGCUGAAACUUGAAGGAAUUGACGGAAGGGCACCACCAGGAGUGGAGCCUGCGGCUUAAUUUGACCCAACACGGGGAAACUUACCAGGUCCAGAGAUGUAGAGGAUUGACAGAUUGAAGCUCUUUCUUGAUCACUUCGGUGGUGGUGCAUGGCCGUUCUUAGUUGGUGGAGUGAUUUGUCUGGUUAAUUCCGUUAACGAACGAGACCUCAGCCUGCUAGUGUAGUCGGCUGGAUUGCCUUUGGCGAUCCGUGAUUUCGACUUCUUAGAGGGACAAUCGACGCGCAGUCGAUGGAAGUUUGAGGCAAUAACAGGUCUGUGAUGCCCUUAGAUGUUCUGGGCCGCACGCGCGCUACACUGCUGGGCUCAGCGAGUUUUACUUGGCCGAGAGGCCCGGUUAAUCUUGUGAAAUCCCAGCGUGCUUGGGCUCGCCUCCUGCAACUGGGGGCGCCAACGAGGAAUUCCUAGUAGACGCAGGUCAUCAACCUGCAUCGAUUACGUCCCUGCCCUUUGUACACACCGCCCGUCGUUCCAUAAGAGUGAGGCAUCCGGUGAAUUCUCGGGAGAGCCUGGGCGUGGCCAGCAAUGGUCUGCUCGGGUUUGAACUUGCAUAAACUUGGUGCCUAUGAUUAGGG